CACUACGGUGCUGAAGCAACAAAUGCCCUGCUUCCAGGAAAAGCCUCUAAGCAUCAGGUAACAUCAAAUCGUACCCCAAACCGACACAGGUGGUCAGGUAGAGAAUACCAAGGCGCUUGAGAGAACUCGGGUGAAGGAACUAGGCAAAAUGGUGCCGUAACUUCGGGAGAAGGCACGCUGACACGUAGGUGAAGUGAUUUACUCACGGAGCUGAAGUCAGUCGAAGAUACCAGCUGGCUGCAACUGUUUAUUAAAAACACAGCACUGUGCAAACACGAAAGUGGACGUAUACGGUGUGACGCCUGCCCGGUGCCGGAAGGUUAAUUGAUGGGGUCAGCGCAAGCGAAGCUCCUGAUCGAAGCCCCGGUAAACGGCGGCCGUAACUAUAACGGUCCUAAGGUAGCGAAAUUCCUUGUCGGGUAAGUUCCGACCUGCACGAAUGGCGUAAUGAUGGCCAGGCUGUCUCCACCCGAGACUCAGUGAAAUUGAACUCGCUGUGAAGAUGCAGUGUACCCGCGGCAAGACGGAAAGACCCCGUGAACCUUUACUAUAGCUUGACACUGAACAUUGAGCCUUGAUGUGUAGGAUAGGUGGGAGGCUUUGAAGUGUGGACGCCAGUCUGCAUGGAGCCGACCUUGAAAUACCACCCUUUAAUGUUUGAUGUUCUAACGUGGACCCGUAAUCCGGGUUGCGGACAGUGUCUGGUGGGUAGUUUGACUGGGGCGGUCUCCUCCUAAAGAGUAACGGAGGAGCACGAAGGUUGGCUAAUCCUGGUCGGACAUCAGGAGGUUAGUGCAAUGGCAUAAGCCAGCUUGACUGCGAGCGUGACGGCGCGAGCAGGUGCGAAAGCAGGUCAUAGUGAUCCGGUGGUUCUGAAUGGAAGGGCCAUCGCUCAACGGAUAAAAGGUACUCCGGGGAUAACAGGCUGAUACCGCCCAAGAGUUCAUAUCGACGGCGGUGUUUGGCACCUCGAUGUCGGCUCAUCACAUCCUGGGGCUGAAGUAGGUCCCAAGGGUAUGGCUGUUCGCCAUUUAAAGUGGUACGCGAGCUGGGUUUAGAACGUCGUGAGACAGUUCGGUCCCUAUCUGCCGUGGGCGCUGGAGAACUGAGGGGGGCUGCUCCUAGUACGAGAGGACCGGAGUGGACGCAUCACUGGUGUUCGGGUUGUCAUGCCAAUGGCACUGCCCGGUAGCUAAAUGCGGAAGAGAUAAGUGCUGAAAGCAUCUAAGCACGAAACUUGCCCCGAGAUGAGUUCUCCCUGAGACUUAGAGUCUCCUGAAGGAACGUUGAAGACGACGACGUUGAUAGGCCGGGUGUGUAAGCGCAGCGAUGCGUUGAGCUAACCGGUACUAAUGAACCGUGAGGCUUAACCUUACA
rnacentral:rRNA from 1 species